rnacentral:misc_RNA from 1 species
CCUCCCCCUAUUUUCCCAUCACUUGUUCCUCCCCAAAAAAGUACAAUACAAACUUAAUAAAAACCCAAAAAAUUUCAAGUCUAUAAGAAAACGAUGUCAGAGGUUUGAGAUUUUUACUUAGUGAGAUUCACUCACGCACCAGAUUUUCAACACCCCCGAUGAUUUUAGUGCACACGUAACGGCCAAACGCAUCCAGAAAAUCAAUGGACUCGACACCAUCAAAAAAUAUCGAGCUCACUGGAUGUUCUGUUCAAGCCGGCAGCGAACUCGGCUCGAUAAAAUGUU